GCAUUCAUUCACUGAGCAGAAUAUACCGAGAAGCCUGUGGUGUGCCCAGCACAGGCACUGCUCUGGACCCUAAAGCCUGGAAACUCAAGCAUCUGUCUGGAACCAUCUGUGUUAUCAGGAACGACAGAGCAAGAGAGAAACCAUGCUCUGCUGGCCAUGGAGUCACCACACAGCCUCCCUGCUUACUGCAGACUUCAUUCAUGUCACUACAGAAUACUGAGAGGAGUUCCCUGUGCUAUACAGCCGGUAUAUGUAUAUAUAAG